rnacentral:tRNA from 1 species
GGGAUUGUGGUCUAGCUUGGUAUGAUUCGAGCUUUGGGUGCUUGAGGUCGCAGGUUCAAAUCCUGUCAAUCCCACCA